AGUCGAACGCGUGUAGCAAUACACGAGUGGCGCACGGGUGAGUAACGCGUGGAUAUCUGCCUUUUGGUUCGGAAUAACCCCGGGAAACUGGGGCUAAUACCGGAUGGUUCCUUCGGGAUAAAGAUUUAUCGCCAAAAGAUGAGUCCGCGUCCGAUUAGCUAGUUGGUGAGGUAAUGGCUCACCAAGGCGACGAUCGGUAGCUGGUCUGAGAGGACGAUCAGCCACACUGGGACUGAGACACGGCCCAGACUCCUACGGGAGGCAGCAGUGGGGAAUAUUGGACAAUGGGGGCAACCCUGAUCCAGCCAUGCCGCGUGAGUGAUGAAGGCCUUCGGGUUGUAAAGCUCUUUUGGCGGGGACGAUGAUGACGGUACCCGCAGAAUAAGCCCCGGCUAACUUCGUGCCAGCAGCCGCGGUAAGACGAAGGGGGCUAGCGUUGUUCGGAAUUACUGGGCGUAAAGCGCGUGUAGGCGGUUAUCCAAGUCGGGUGUGAAAGCCUUGAGCUCAACUCAAGAAAUGCACUCGGUACUGGGUGACUAGAGGACCGGAGAGGAUAGUGGAAUUCCCAGUGUAGUGGUGAAAUACGUAGAGAUUGGGAAGAACACCAGUGGCGAAGGCGGCUAUCUGGACGG
rnacentral:rRNA from 1 species